UGGGGAAUUUUGGACAAUGGGCGAAAGCCUGAUCCAGCAAUGCCGCGUGUGUGAAGAAGGCCUUCGGGUUGUAAAGCACUUUUGUCCGGAAAGAAAUCCUUGGCUCUAAUACAGUCGGGGGAUGACGGUACCGGAAGAAUAAGCACCGGCUAACUACGUGCCAGCAGCCGCGGUAAUACGUAGGGUGCAAGCGUUAAUCGGAAUUACUGGGCGUAAAGCGUGCGCAGGCGGUUUGCUAAGACCGAUGUGAAAUCCCCGGGCUCAACCUGGGAACUGCAUUGGUGACUGGCAGGCUAGAGUAUGGCAGAGGGGGGUAGAAUUCCGCGUGUAGCAGUGAAAUGCGUAGAGAUGUGGAGGAAUACCGAUGGCGAAGGCAGCCCCCUGGGCCAAUACUGACGCUCAUGCACGAAAGCGUGGGGAGCAAACAGGAUUAGAUACCCUGGUAGUCCACGCCCUAAACGAUGUCAACUAGUUG
rnacentral:rRNA from 1 species